AAAAACUUAGUUAAAUUAUAAUAUAAAUAUGUCAUAUUUAAGUUGAGUAGUUUUUU
rnacentral:tRNA from 1 species